GAUGAACGCUAGCGGCAGGCCUAAUACAUGCAAGUCGAACGGUGUCUUCGGACAUAGUGGCGCACGGGUGCGUAACACGUAUGCAACCUACCUUACAUUGGGGGAUAGCCUUUCGAAAGGGAGAUUAAUACCGCAUAAGACAGUAGCUGGGCAUCCAGCAGCUGUUAAAGAUUUAUCGAUGUAAGCUGGGCAUGCGUCCAAUUAGCUAGUUGGUGAGGUAACGGCUAACCAAGGCAAUGAUUGGUAGGGGAACUGAGAGGUCAAUCCCCCACACUGACACUGAGAUACGGGCCAGACUCCUACGGGAGGCAGCAGUAGGGAAUAUUGGGCAAUGGACGCAAGUCUGACCCAGCCAUGCCGCGUGCAGGAUGAAGGCGUUAUGCGUUGUAAACUGCUUUUAUACAGGAAGAAACGACUCUUGCGAGAGGCAUUGACGGUACUGUAUGAAUAAGCACCGGCUAACUCCGUGCCAGCCGCCGCCGUAAUAC
rnacentral:rRNA from 1 species